UCUCCGUUGGUGAACCAGCGGAGGGAUCAUUACCGAGUUUACAACUCCCAAACCCUAUGUGAACCAUACCAAACUGUUGCCUCGGCGGGGUCACGCCCCGGGUGCGUCGCAGCCCCGGAACCAGGCGCCCGCCGGAGGGACCAACCAAACUCUUUCUGUAGUCCCCUCGCGGACGUUAUUUUUACAGCUCUGAGCAAAAAUUCAAAAUGAAUCAAAACUUUCAACAACGGAUCUCUUGGUUCUG
rnacentral:misc_RNA from 1 species